UGAUGCAAUCCAAAGGGGAAGACACCUUGCUGCUUGAGGACACUGAGUGGAUUCUUGCACUUGCAUUUUUAACGGACAUCACUGGGAAACUGAACCAUCUGAACUAUGAGCUGCAAGGUAAAGGUUUCAGGUGAGACCAACUUGUCGUCUCAGCAGUUAACAGUCUAGCUCCUGAGAUGAUCGACCGUUCAGUGUCCGCCUUCAUCCUGAGAACAAGAGCCUUGUCUCAGCAAGCCUUUAGAAUGUUGUACCUGCUUUGCUGGAGUAUGCUGGACAUUUCAAUCAAGGGACAGAUAUGAGGAAGGAACCAGCCAAGAGAGUGUCAUGGUGAAUAUUCCAGGACUCGGCUUGGGGCCGAGCUCUUCCUCAGAUAUGACAGUUCUGG
ensembl:lncRNA